rnacentral:rRNA from 2 species
AGUCGACGACUCUGGUAUUGAUUGGUGCUUGCAUCAUGAUUUACAUUUGAGUGAGUGGCGAACUGGUGAGUAACCCGUGGGAAACCUGCCCAGAAGCGGGGGAUAACCCCUGGAAACAGAUGCUAAUACCGCAUAACAACUUGGACCGCAUGGUCCGAGUUUGAAAGAUGGCUUCCGCUUUCACUUUUGGAUGGUCCCGCGGCGUAUUAGCUAGAUGGGGGGGUAACGGCUCACCAUGGCAAUGAUACGUAGCCGACCUGAGAGGGUAAUCGGCCACAUUGGGACUGAGACCCCGCCCAAACUCCUACGGGAGGCAGCAGUAGGGAAUCUUCCCCAAUGGACGAAAGUUUGAUGGAGCACCGCCCCCUGAGUGAAGAAGGGUUUCGGCUCGUAAAACUCUGUUGUUAAAGAAAAACAUAUCUAAGAGUAACUGUUCAGGUAUUGACGGUAUUUAACCAAAAAGCCACGGCUAACUACGUGCCACCAGCCGCGGUAAUACGUAGGUGGCAAGCGUUGUCCGGAUUUAUUGGGCGUAAAGCGAGCGCAGGCGGUUUUUUAAGUCUGAUGUGAAAGCCUUCGGCUCAACCGAAGAAGUGCAUCGGAAACUGGGAACACUUGAGUGCAGAAGAGGACAGUGGCACUCCAUGUGUCGCGGUGAAAUGCGUAUAUAUAUGGAAGAACACCAGUGGCGAACGGCGGCUGUGUGGUCUGUCACUGACUGCUGAGGCUCGAUAGUAUGGGUAGCAAAGCAGGAUUUACAUACGCUGGUUAGUCCAUACCAGCAAGCAAUGCAAUGCGUACGGG